rnacentral:rRNA from 1 species
AACGAACGCUGGCGGCAGGCUUAACACAUGCAAGUCGAGCGCCCCGCAAGGGGAGCGGCAGACGGGUGAGUAACGCGUGGGAACGUACCCUUUGCUACGGAAUAGCUCCGGGAAGCUGGAAUUAAUACCGUAUGUGCCCUACGGGGGAAAGAUUUAUCGGCAAAGGAUCGGCCCGCGUUGGAUUAGCUAGUUGGUGGGGUAAUGGCCUACCAAGGCGACGAUCCAUAGCUGGUCUGAGAGGAUGAUCAGCCACAUUGGGACUGAGACACGGCCCAAACGCCUGCGGGAGGCAGCAGUGGGGAAUAUUGGACAAUGGGCGCAAGCCUGAUCCAGCCAUGCCGCGUGAGUGAUGAAGGCCUUAGGGUUGUAAAGCUCUUUCACCGGAGAAGAUAAUGACGGUAUCCGGAGAAGAAGCCCCGGCUAACUUCGUGCCAGCCGCCGCUGUAAUAC